CUUCACUAAGGAAAUGAAUUUUCAACCAGGCCUCAGGAGCUAUGACAGUAUGGGGUGGACAGAAGAUAUGACAGAGACACAGAACAGCCUAGCAUCAGGGAGGGUAAGACAGGAACCAACACAAAAUAGAAGACCUCAGUCUCUCGCAACCACUUAAGUCGGUAAGUGGAAGGUUUGUUACAUUGGAUAAUCCAAAAUUCAUAUUUUCAUCAGAACCUCUCAGGAGAUCCAGUUUGAAAGGAUUGUAUGUUGCUAUCGUUAGAGCCCCAAAGAGUAGUUUUACUUUCUUAACAAUCCCUAGCAACAAUUCCCUUCUACAACCCCAAGCAAUGCUGAUCAUUUCUUGGUUGCCAUGGUUUUAUCUUUGGCAGAAGGUAACCUGGACCCAUAGAACAUUGCCCUAAGCACUGUCUUCAAUGCUUGGUGUUACAGUCGUCUGAUCUGUUCAGAGGAGUUUGUAGAGGGGAAGGGAGAAGAAAGGACCAAUGACUGCAAAGAAUAAAAAGAAUAAAGAGACAUAGUUAAGUAGAUAAAUACACAGAUGAUAGGUGAGUUGAUAGGUGAUAGGUAGAUAGACAGACAGACAGACAGACAGGCAGACAGAUGAUUGACACAUUCUAACACACAGCUACUGAAUGAGUGUUUAGUCCACUUCCAUUGAUGGCUAUUAGCAAGUGGUCAUGUUGCUAGAGGCACCAAUAUAUAU
rnacentral:lncRNA from 1 species